rnacentral:rRNA from 1 species
ACAUCCAGCGAACUUGGCAGAGAUGCCUUGGUGCCUUCGGGAACGCUGAGACAGGUGCUGCAUGGCUGUCGUCAGCUCGUGUUGUGAAAUGUUGGGUUAAGUCCCGCAACGAGCGCAACCCUUAUCCUUUGUUGCCAGCGAUUCGGUCGGGAACUCAAAGGAGACUGCCGGUGAUAAACCGGAGGAAGGUGGGGAUGACGUCAAGUCAUCAUGGCCCUUACGAGUAGGGCUACACACGUGCUACAAUGGCGCAUACAAAGAGAAGCGACCUCGCGAGAGCAAGCGGACCUCAUAAAGUGCGUCGUAGUCCGGAUCGGAGUCUGCAACUCGACUCCGUGAAGUCGGAAUCGCUAGUAAUCGUGGAUCAGAAUGCCACGGUGAAUACGUUCCCGGGCCUUGUACACACCGCCCGUCACACCAUGGGAGUGGGUUGCAAAAGAAGUAGGUAGCUUAACCCUCGGGAGGGCGCUUACCACUUUGUGAUUCAUGACUGGGGUGAAGUCGUAACAAGGUAGGCGUAGAUGA